rnacentral:lncRNA from 1 species
AAAAAGCUCCUUUUUUUCAAAAUUUACCGAAAUGGGCCGAUUUUUUGAUUAUUUACCGGAAUGAACCAUUUUCCGGGAAAUCGCGCCCACGUCAGCGCGAUGUCAGGGUAAAUGGCAGGGGGUUGAGGACGCGAUUUCCUUCCACCUCAGCAGAUCGCGCUGAUGUGGACGCGACCUUCUCCGCGCGUGAACAGUACCCCUAACAGUCAAAAUAUAUAUAUAUAUAUAAAUACCCC